UUAACGUCAUUUUAUGUAGGCAUAUAAAUGUUAUUAUAAAUUAUUAAAGCACGACUUCCGGUUCAAAACCCAUUAUACCAAAAAUAUUACGUUCUCCCCAAAAAUGUAUAUUUUUAAUGUAUUCUUCGAAACUCUUGAACACAAUUUGAAGUUCAGAUUCGACUUUUCCGCCAAACCCUACAGGUUGUGCAACGUUUAAAUCACAAAAAGAACAAAUAUCUUUCUAGUAGUUUUAUAUAGCUUCUGCUAAUAGAAAAUCUAGCUACAUAUUUAAAUCACAGUUUAAUAUAAUAAAAAAUAGGUUUUAAGAUCAAGAAUUAUGAUCUUAAGCAAGUCAACCAUAUACAGUUUAAAACGACAUUUUGACAUUUAAUGAAAAUAUGUGGUUAUGAUACCCAAUAAGAAUAAAGUUUAUGCGAUACGUUACUUGGGUGUACUAUAAUUGAUUCUAUACUUGUAAUAUCUUAAUUCAGUUCAGCAAAUUAACAAAAUGGACGCAGAAACAAAAGAAAAGGAAGUGGAACAUGUAUCCAAUUCAGAUGCCACUGCAAACAAGAAGAAACACAAGAAAGAACACAAACAUAAACACAAGAAACGCAAUUCGGAGAAAACGGAAAAGGACAAGUCCAAGAAGCACAAAAAACAUAAGAAACACAAACGCAAAGAGAAAGAAGUGUCCGUAGAUAGGCAGUCCAUAAAAAGUGAUAAAAAUGACCGGUACACCCCUGAAAAGUCACCAAAACCUAAGGAGAAAAGUACAAGCACCAGUGUCACUAAUGGUAAGCCUUUAAUCGAGAAAUCACCUACUGAUACGGUUAAGAAAUCCUCAAGUAACGAUCCCGAUUCUGUCGUCGACUUUGUAUCGGCAGGCCUAAACCCGGAUGUGCAGGAUGUGCACACGUUAGAAGUGAUUUCCUCAGAAAGUGAAGACGUGCCCGAAGUGGACUGUGACAGUGUCGAUAUAGACAUAAGCGUUAUAGAGGCGGACAUGGAUCUGGAAGAGCUUAUGAAGCAGAAAGAGCUGCUGCAGGCACAGCUGGCGAAAGCAGAGAUCGAAGGGGUGGCUACACCCAACGACCACGCUGUAGAGAACGGAAAGCCGGUCGACGAGAUUAUUUUAUUAGACGAUUCGGACGACCAAGAACCUAGUGUACCUGCUAAAAGGAGAAAACAUUCUCGUAGUAGAGAACGCAAAGUCAUUAUUAAGGAGAGGCCGAAAAUUGACCAUAAAAGAAGACGUACACGUAGCCGGGAACGAUAUGCGAGAGAAACGGAAAGGGAGAGAUAUAACCGUGAAUUAGAAAAGCGCAGGGAAAGAGAAAGAGAGAGGGAGCGGAACCAUAGACAUACUCAGCGUAGGUCUAGAGAAAGGUCGUCGUCCAACAUAAACGACAGGUCCAACCGUGAUAGAUCUCUAAGAAGGUCUCGAGAACGAGACAGUGUUUCCCAUCGCGGCGCAUCCAGGGAUACCAGAAGGGUUCAGGAUGACAGGGAUAGAUAUAGAUCGGGUAGAGAUAGAUCUAGGGAUAGGAGGGAUAGAAGCCACAACAAUAGGAACAGGCACGAGAAGCAUGACAAAUACAAGGAUUCUCUAAGCGAGGGACAGCAGAAGGCCAAGCAAAGCAGUGAUAGUAGUGAGGUGGACGACAUUGAUUUGAAUGAAGACGAAGAGGACGAGGAAGCUAUUAUCGAGAAGAGAAGGAAGCAGAGGGAGGAGCUGUUGAAGAGAUUAGGAGCCACGAACGCCCAAAGUGAAGACUCCAACACCAACAUAUCCGUGCCCGCGUCCCCCAAGCCGGUUGUAGACCACGUCAAAGACACCCCACCCGAACCCGACGAACCGGAAGAUAAGCAAACGGAACAAGAAGUUGAGAACAACGAUGAAGAAAAAGUAAGUGAAGAAUCUCUCACUCCCCCGCUUUUGCCGAACAUGAAGACAGUCGAGCUGAACGACAAAAAGACGGAUAAAACCAAGAAAUCGGAGUGGGACAUGUUCGCCGAGCAGGAUAUUUUUAAAGCGAACACAAGCUCUCCAAGUACAAUAAUCACGAAGGGCUCGGGUGCGGAAAAUCCCGCACUUACCGACAACUGGGACGACGCCGAGGGCUAUUACAGGGUCAGAAUUGGCGAAAUAUUAGACUCUAGAUAUAUGGUGUACGGUUAUACCGGCCAGGGCGUUUUCAGUAACGUCGUUAGGGCCAGGGACCAGGCUAGGGGCAAUCAGGACGUCGCCGUGAAGAUUAUCAGGAAUAACGAGAUCAUGCACAAAACAGGGUUGAAGGAACUGGAGAUCCUGAAGAAACUGAACGACGCCGACCCGGAAGACAAGCUGCACUGCUUGCGACUGAUCAGGCACUUCUUCCACAAGCAGCACCUGUGCAUGGUGUUCGAACCGCUAGCCAUGAACUUGAGGGAGGUCCUCAAGAAGUACGGCAAGGACGUCGGCCUGCACGUUAAAGCGGUCCGCAGUUACACCCAACAGCUGCUCUUAGCACUCAAACUCCUAAAGAAGACCGGAAUACUGCACGCAGACAUAAAACCCGACAACAUACUGGUGAACGAGAGCAAACUGGUCUUGAAGCUGUGCGAUUUCGGUUCCGCCUCGGUGAUAAACGAGAACGAGAUCACGCCGUAUCUCGUAUCGAGGUUCUACAGAGCGCCCGAGAUUAUCCUGGGCAUCCCCUACGAUUACGGCAUCGACAUGUGGUCGGCCGCCUGCACCAUUUAUGAGCUUUACACUGGUCGGAUCAUGUUCUCCGGCAAGUCCAACAACCAGAUGCUGAAGUUCUUCAUGGACAUAAAGGGGAAGUUCCCCAACAAGGUGAUAAGGAAGGGGGCGUUCAGGGAACAGCAUUUCGACGGCAACUGUAACUUCCUCUACCACGAGAUCGAUAAGGUCACCGAACGGGAAAAGGUAGUUGUAAUGUCGGUAGUGAAGGUGACCAGGGACUUGCAGGCGGAGCUGGUGGCGGGCCAGGGGUUACCCGCCGACCAGCUGCGGAAAGUCACCCAGCUCAAGGACCUGCUGGAGAAGGCGUUGGCCAUCGACCCGGCCAAACGUAUAAGCCUGAACAACGCCCUGACCCACCCCUUCAUACAGGACAAGAUUUAGAAAAGUGGUUUAGCGAGAGUGCCGGUAAGGGAGAAUCAGAGAUCGCCGAUCGGUCCCAGAAAAUAGCAAAGCGUGUCAGAGAGAAUUUGGCCGAUAAUUUCGAUAAAGUGUUUCAGUAAAACGGACGAUUCGGAUCGAAUUCUUCAAAGGAUAAGUAUUAAUUUCACCCACGACACCUCGACUAACUUUUUUAUUCUAUUAUAGCGUUGUGAGAAUGUUUACCCGACGAUCAGUAACGAGACAAAAAUAGAGCAACGCAAGGUAAGUAAGACACCAUACGUUGUGAUUGUGUGCUUUCUACAGUGACA